GGCUCAGAGCAGAAUUCCAGGAAGAAGAAUCCCCGGAAGGUUUUCCGGCUGGACUUUGAGGAGGACAUUGACUUUGAGUCCCAUUUCCGUAAGACCAAGGCAUCCAUAACUCUGGCCAAAUCCACCCUGGAGAACCAGAAGGCCAGGAGCACCACACUCCCUGCAGACUUCAACUAUGACCCCCAGAACAUCCUGCAGCUCUUCCUCAAGGUCAAGGUUAAGCUCAGCCAGAGUUUGGAGUCGCUUGGGACCGGUACCUUGGAUAACGAGGCUGGGAUUGAGGACUACGACUACAACAACCCCAACGACACCUCCAACUUCUGCCCCGCCCU